rnacentral:antisense_RNA from 1 species
GCCAAGCUGCAACUGGAACUCAGAAUUUCUGGUUCCCAGUUCUAUAUCUUAGCCUCCCAAACUGGCUAUGUGGACAGGAAAGAACAGAGGCAUGGGGUGAGCUUUAAGGAUGCAAUUUCAUAGGAUUCCAAGAGUCUCAAGGUUAGAGAAGUCGCCUAGUCCACCUCCCCUCUCUGCUUCUCACAGAAGGGUCUGCUGAACACUCUGGUGACAAGGUUAGAGAAGUCGCUUAGUCCACCUCCCCUCUCUGCUUCUCACAGAAGGGUCUGCUGAACACUCUGGUGACAGAGAACUCACCCAACAUGUUCCAUGGCAGAGGCUCUUCAUUAGAUCAAGGUGACAUCUGUUUUACUGGAGCUUCCAACCACGUGUCCCAAUACUGCUCUUAGUCACAUGCAUCCAGGUCCUCUCUCUCAGGACAGCACUUUGAAUAAAUGAGGACAGCUCCCAUCCCCCUUUCUCCCAUAGCUGGGACUACAGGGGCCCGCCACCACGCUCGGUAAUUUUUGUAUUUUUAGUAGAGACGGGGUUUCACCAUGUUGACCAGGAUGGUCUCAAUCUCUUGACCUUGUGA